UACGAAGGCCCCGAGCGUUAUCCGGAUUUAUUGGGCGUAAAGGGUGCGUAGGCGGUUUAUCGCAUCUCCUGUUAAAUCACGAGGCUCAACUUCGUGGCCGCAGGAGAGAUGGGUAAACUAGAGGCCGGAAAAGGUACGCGGAAUUGCUGGUGUAGGGGUUAAAUCCGUUAAUAUCAGCAGGAACACCAAAUGCGAAGGCAGCGUACUGGUACGGUCCUGACGCUCAGGCACGAAAGCGUGGGGAGCAAAUGGG
rnacentral:rRNA from 1 species